rnacentral:rRNA from 1 species
UACGGGGGGGGCAAGCGUUGUUCGGAAUUACUGGGCGUAAAGGGCUCGUAGGCGGCCAACUAAGUCAGACGUGAAAUCCCUCGGCUUAACCGGGGAACUGCGUCUGAUACUGGUUGGCUUGAAUCCGGGAGAGGGAUGCAGAAUUCCAGGUGUAGCGGUGAAAUGCGUAGAUAUCUGGAGGAAUACCGGUGGCGAAGGCGGCAUCCUGGACCGGCAUUGACGCUGAGGAGCGAAAGCCAGGGGAGCAAACGGG